AUAGGAUAAGAAUACCUUGGUGUAAUAUCUGCAACCAGCUGAACCUUCAGUUACAAGCAAAAGCUUCAGAUUAGGAUGGAAAAGCCUCUUCAACACCACCUCGUCAUCAUUUGGAUCGUCGGCUCCAGUCAAGAAUGAAAUUUCAUCCUCACUUAUCUUAAUAAUAUCUGCUAGGUUCCAUACACUCAUUAUUCCACUUCGAGCAGCAUCUUCUGAAGGCCAUAAAGGCAAUCUCAGGUUUGGAUCAUACGACAGUAUGCUACCUGAUCUUUUGGCAAUGUCCAUUGCAGCAAGGUGUGUUGACCUACAAGGUUCGUCGAUCAAACUAAUUGAACCAUAAUGGAAGAUGGUGGCCUUUUUAAUAAGAUCUACAUCGAGUUCUGACUCCCGAAGAAGCAUAUCAGCACUAGGAUUA
rnacentral:misc_RNA from 1 species